AGUGAACGCUGGCGGUAGGCCUAACACAUGCAAGUCGAACGGCAGCACAGUAAGAGCUUGCUCUUACGGGUGGCGAGUGGCGGACGGGUGAGGAAUACAUCGGAAUCUACUUUUUCGUGGGGGAUAACGUAGGGAAACUUACGCUAAUACCGCAUACGACCUACGGGUGAAAGCAGGGGAUCUUCGGACCUUGCGCGAUUGAAUGAGCCGAUGUCGGAGUAGCUAGUUGGCGGGGUAAAGGCCCACCAAGGCGACGAUCCGUAGCUGGUCUGAGAGGAUGAUCAGCCACACUGGAACUGAGACACGGUCCAGACUCCUACGGGAGGCAGCAGUGGGGAAUAUUGGACAAUGGGCGCAAGCCUGAUCCAGCCAUACCGCGUGAGUGAAGAAGGCCUUCGGGUUGUAAAGCCCUUUUGUUGGGAAAGAAAAGCAGCAGGUUAAUACCCCGCUGUUCUGACGGUACCCAAAGAAUAAGCACCGGCUAACUUCGUG
rnacentral:rRNA from 1 species